CAAUGGUGACGCAGGCUCGGGUGGCGCGCGCCACGGGGGAGGGGAAUAAAGGGAUUAAAAGACUCUUGGGAGAAAGAACCCCUUGGAUUAAUACCCCGUGCCCCUGACGGUACCCGGAGAAUAAGCACCGGCUAACUACGUGCCAGCAGCCGCGGUAAUA
rnacentral:rRNA from 1 species